UCAAAACCUGCUGAACACUCACCCUCAAUGU
rnacentral:piRNA from 2 species